CUCUGAAAUUUUACAAUCCAGAGGUACUACAGACUCCAUAUUUUUUUUUCCAACUGAUGCGUAUGAUUGUAUGUUGUGUUUGGAAGAGGAGGGAAGGGAGAGGAGGGGGAGAGAAUGGGCUGUGGGGCCCACAUAAUUAAGAAACAGAUCUGAGAGCUCCGCAAUAGCCCAUUUUCUCACCUUUCCCCAUUCACAAACACAGCAGUAUCGUUCUGUUCUGAUGGUAACUUCUGUUCUUAAUUACAGAUUCAUACAGCUGCCUUCUGU
rnacentral:misc_RNA from 1 species